GAAAACACGGAGCGCGCAACUUUGCGUAUGUGUAAAAUAAAUAAUGUGUUUUAGUCCGGGUAGAUACUAACUUUGCAAUAAAUCUUAGUUUCGGGUCUGCUUGAAAUUGGAUACCUUGAAUACAUGCAAAUGGGUUAUUUGAUUAUGCGUAUUAAUAUAAUAGAGCUAUAGCUUGAACAAGCAAUUAUUAUUUGAAUACAUAUUUAAUUAUAUAUUAAAUACUAAAAUUGAUUUACGCUAUUCAUGAAGUUUGUAAUAAAUACAAAGUAAACAAGAGUAAAAUACACUAUCUUAAAAACAGAAGAAAUUUAUAAUCAAACAUUGACAUUUAAAUUUGGUUUUCGAUCCUUACAUUGAUUCACUUUAAAACGAAAUUGUGAAGAGACUGUUAUAUCAAUGUUUUUCGGAUUAACACAAGGAAAUGUUUUUACUCAUGCUUUGUUUUGUGGAAGGCAUCUUAUAAGUAUUGCUCGGAAUUAAAAAACAACAACAAAGAAAAUCGAAAAGAAUCAGUAAAAAAGAUGUGACCAAUAUGCACUCGCGUCCUACAGUAAUAUUGUGUGUGCCACACAUAAUAAAGAAGUCCGGGCCGGGUACAAGGCUAUGUCAAUCGUUAACCCGCUCGGGGAGGUUAACACUGCAGUGAGUGUUACACUGUGUUCGUGCUGUUUAAAUGAUAGGAAAUCGAAAGUACCUGAACAGGUUAAAUAUUCGCAACUUAAUCUAGAAUUUCAAACGUUUUUAUAUUUAUACUUUUAUGAUGUAAUAUCUUUAUAAAUUGAUUGCACCGAGUCCUAUGAAAUUGUUAUUUGUGAACUUCAUUAUUACCGGAAUGGCUGAUACAACGUUGGUUCAAGUGUUUACUCAAAAGCGCGAGUUUGAAUUAAACUGUGGUAAGAUUGCCUACGAGCAGGUAUAUAAAGGUCAUUCUGGGGUGAAUGUAGACUUUAUAGCUAUCGAUAAAUGUUUUAGAAACGAAACAGUUACGAUGUCCGACGAUUUGAAACGGGCAAUAAAACAAGUGAAGAGGUAAAACAAUGAUUCACUAACCUAGCGGACGGACAUGGUCAUGUAAAAGCUACCGACUACGGAACAUUUAUUUUCAUUUUUCUCACGACUCUCAAAUCCAACCGUCGUCUCGUCGUGGAUAAAGACGAUUCGUUAGCAUUUGAAGACAUAUUCGACACCAUCAAAACUAAACCCGUAAUGGCAGGGAAGCCAAAGAUUUGUAUCGUUCAAGCGGAUGAUGAAGAGAUUGUCAAAAAGAUUGCCGAACAGCAGCCGCAGGAUAAAUCGAAAUUAAAACUUCCACAAGAUGCCGAUAGGCUUGUAAUAAUGUCAACUCUUCCUCAGGUGUUGUCAAAUCUUGAUAUAAUCAAUUUGCCUAGACCAAACAUACCAUACUAUGAAAUGUACAAAUCAGAGGGCAUGACACAAUGUUAUAACUUGAAGUAUACCCCUGUUGCAUUAUCAGAGGGUAUGGCAGAUAUUCGAACGAAGGAGCAGGAAAUGGAAGCAUCACCACUAAUACAGGCAUUUGUUACAAUUGUCAAAGAUAAUAGAUCGAAGGAAAAAGUUCUUGACCUUUUUUCUUUAACACCAUUGCUAAACGGAAAAGUAAUGAUAUGAUAACUUCUUUCAAAGAAUCGCUGACAAAUAUUCAUUUUCCAAUUCCAUUUGUAAGCUCUACUUUAACACGAAAAGUCCAUCUGAAGUAAUAAAAGAAAUGAAAAACGUAAAUUUCAAGUGAAUGGUAGAUAGAAAUGUUGGAUUAACGACUGUAUUAAAGAUUUUUGGAUUGUGGUACAUAAAACAAUAAACAUCAUGUUUAUUAUGUUUGAAUGAUGAGUUUAUUAUUUUUGAAUAAUGAAGUUUUCUUUCACACUGUAUUAUUACCAUUGGCAAAUAUGUCAUGCACGAGUAUUUGACUUAAGUAAUAUUCAUAUGAAAAGGAAAGGCAAAACUGUCAAAUUGUGUCAAUUAGGUGUCUACAAAAUUGUACUGAAGAGAAAUGUAUCUUCUGAAAACGUUUGUAUAGCAUAGAGGCGCAAAUCAUUCGAAUUAAUUUUACACGGGUUUAUAAUUAUUUACAUCAGUUAUAAUUCGAUUUUGUUAUAAGUAAGAGCUCAAAAGCUCAGAUACUUUAAGACACAUACGCAACCACACUUUGUGUUUUGGCCCUUUGAUCUAUAAUUGUGUCAACACCUUGACCGUGCUUUAUAUUUAUCAAUAAUAUAGGUCUCAAAAGUGUUUUUAUAAAAGAUGAUAGAUUUAUAUUAUUAAGGUUUUAGGUCUGUUUCAUCUAUUAUUACAAAGUUACAAUUCGUUUGGCUCUGGUUUGCAUCUAACUAUGUUGUAGUUCAUUCCUGAUGUCUAUAACCUAUAUUCUAAUUUCUUUCUACACGAUUUGAAUUGUUAAGCCAUGCUGGUCAUUUUCUUUUUUAAUUGCUCUGUACCAAGAAUGAUGCUUGGGCUAUUACAGGUGGUUAUCCCAGUUGUAUUUACUUUUUGUAUGUGGUGUUUUGUUUCUCGCUGUUUAAUAUUUGGUUCCGUGCUAUAAAUACAAUUACUUUAUCUCCAGCUGACGCACUUGAAUGUUCAAUUUUUUAUUUGUUUGAUGAAAAUUGUUUUUAAAAACCACUUUUACAAGGAACAUACACUCGAAUUUGCGGCUCUAAAUUGCUUUUCGUCUGUACAUUUCUAAUUAGAAAUAAAAUAGCCGUUUGUUACAUAUAUAUCGGAUGUUGGUAUUUAUAUUUGUGUCAAUUAUGAUUGCUUUGACUUCUAGGACAUUUAACUAUCUAAACGUUAAUGCAAUUUUAUCAAUAAAUGCAUCCUCUCAAA